rnacentral:rRNA from 1 species
UACGGGGGGGGCAAGCGUUGUUCGGAAUUACUGGGCGUAAAGGGCUCGUAGGCGGCCAACUAAGUCGGAUGUGAAAUCCCCAGGCUUAACUUGGGAACUGCAUCCGAUACUGGAUGGCUUGAAUCCGGGAGAGGGAUGCGGAAUUCCUGGUGUAGCGGUGGAAUGCGCAGAUAUCAGGAGGAACACCGAUGGCGAAGGCAGUUCUCUGGGCCGUAACUGACGCUGAGGAGCGAAAGCGUGGGGAGCGAACAGG